rnacentral:rRNA from 1 species
UACGUAGGAUGCAAGCGUUGUCCGGAAUUAUUGGGCGUAAAGAGCGCGCAGGCGGUCUGACAAGUCAGAUGUGAAAGAGGCCGGCUUAACCGGCAAGGGUCAUUUGAAACUGUCAGACUAGAGUGCAGCAGAGGAUAGUGGAAUUCCCGGUGUAGUGGUGAAAUGCGUAGAUAUCGGGAGGAACACCAGUGGCGAAGGCGACUAUCUGGGCUGCAACUGACGCUGAGGCGCGAAGGCUAGGGUAGCAAACAGG